UGAAAAUGGGCUCUGAAUUUCUAGCUGGAAAUGGUCUUCCCAGCCAGGUUUCCAACUGGAAUCAGCCCUUCCAGAUGGAAAUUUUCCAGAGCCAGCUGGAAAUGGCACUUUCCAGCUUGAAGUGGAAUCCACCUCAGCUAGUUUUCCAGCUAGAAGCAGCACUUCCAGCUGGAAGUUUUCCAGCUUCAGCUGGAAACAACUGGAUACAGCAUUUUUUAGCUGGAAACAGCGCUUCCAACUGGAAACAACUGGAUGGAGCAUUUUCCAGCCGGAAGUAGAAUCUAUCGACUGGAAAGUGGAGCUUCCCACUUGCAUUGACAUUUUUUGUAUCUGCAACAUGUCCAUAUUUAGCCCUAGGUGGUGUUUGUAUCAGAACGAAGAGCUUUUACUCUUGCAGCAGCAGCAAAAAAAAAAUAUUUUUAUUCGUUUGUGUUGUGACAACAAUAGUAAUUAAUUGCAUGAACUGCAUGGAAAUGCUCGUCACUCAGGGUACCUUUGAUCGCGAUCGGGCUCGAUCGGGAUCGAUUGCAAUCGAAAGUAGGAGUUGCCAAAAAAUAUAUCUCCAGGAAAACUGCCACUUUUAUUGAACCUUACUUGUAGUAGACAAAAGCGACGCGCUCUUGAUCGACACUGUGUUAUCUUGCUACACUGUCGACGUCGUCUAGCGAGGAGCUUGCCCGAUUGGUCAUGAUGAGCCGUUGCGCAAACGGCUAGUGUUUACAGCAUAGCAAUUCCUUCCCUAACAAAAAAGAGCCUUAACAUGUGGCACCUUCAGCAGUUAUCAGGCUGCAAUGACCGCUGCUCCUAUCUUUUCCUUCCUUCACGAAUGCUGCACGACACCGCUACAAUCGCCGCCAUUUUUGUUGAAUGCUUAGUAGCUUUAGUCUCGUAUCUUGUCUUGGUGUGCUCUUUUGACACUAAUAAUAAAAUAAUAGCCUGGUAUUGCAAUAUAAGCAUUUCUCGGAAAAGCUCGGAUUUUUAUUCGCAGCAAACAUCAGCAUUACAGAUGCAGCCCGAAUAUAAAAAAUAUGACGACGCCACAGUGGCCCUAGUUUCGUACAGCACAUGGCGGAAUCUGUCACGGCGAGGCAAUUUUGUGAGACAACGAGAGUCUCUCGGGUGUGCGUGUGAUCAAGUUUUUGUGAGGAACCUGCAUGAUCUUGCGCAUGAAGUAAAUAUUUUUGGACAGUUUCUUCUCUGGACGGCGUUACAAGUACAGGCAAGCGGGCAUCAACGGUUGUUAUUGCUGUACUUUGUGGUGUUGUGAUUCACCAGUGCGGAUCGAAGAGCACAGUUUUCUCCAGCCCGGAUUCUACAAUUUGGAGGUAAUCUCCUCUGAAGGACCCAGCUGAAGGACUAGAAUUACGGUAUCUUCAACAGGCGAUUUGUUAAAAAUUGCAUAAAACUUAAAAAUUAUCACGCAGCAUAUGUGAAGUGCUUGCCAGUUUGCGUAAGCCCCUUUUGUCUCCAAUAGCCCAUUUGAAUAUAGUGCCGUGCAGUGUUUGUGCCCAAUGUUGCACAAACGUCUAUUAAAUACUAGUGCGUAUAUGUCAAUCUGCCCAACGCAAUAGAAGCACAUUUAUGCUGUGCUUUCACUGCAAGUGCGUGCUCGCAAACACGUAGCCUCGAAUGGCAGGCUUUUGAAUUGGUGCAAAACAGCAAUAACAUUAAAGACUGGCCCUCAAGCUCUUGUGUUAUUCAGCAGAAGAAUGCUUCUUGGGGGCCUGAGUUACAUCACACACCAAGUUCAAAAUACAAAUGAGCUCAUUUGAAUUCUAUUUACACUAAAGCAACACUCAAUGGCGCUAAACUAUUUAACAAUCAUUGCAUAGCUCCUGCAGCUCAGGUUGAGAGCCUCGUGAGAGCUCAGGUUGAGGCCUUGCGCCACAUAAACUGUAAAAGGGGCUGUGAUGAAGGUACACUGUGGUACUGUCCAAAGGCUGUUGAUACAAUCCACGUGAUUUUGGUAAAGCUCACUGUUUACUAGAACUGAGUGGAUUGAAGUCAUGAUUGUUUUAAAUUUCACUCACUAUGCCUAAAUAUUUCUUUCAGAUGGUGUACAAGGCGAUGUGCAAGUGCAUUUCACACCUUGGGGAGCUGCAAGAUAUGCUUUCACAAUCCUUGCUGCAAGUGUUCAAAUAAAGGGUUUCAAGUUUCA